rnacentral:misc_RNA from 1 species
GAAAUGCGAUAACUAGUGUGAAUUGCAGAAUUCCGUGAAUCAUCGAGUCUUUGAACGCACAUUGCGCCCCCUGGUAUUCCGGGGGGCAUGCCUGUCCGAGCGUCAUUGCUGCCCAUCAAGCACGGCUUGUGUGUUGGGUCGUCGUCCCCUCUCCGGGGGGGACGGGCCCCAAAGGCAGCGGCGACACCGCGUCCGAUCCUCGAGCGUAUGGGGCUUUGUCACCCGCUCUGUAGGCCCGGCCGGCGCUUGCCGAACGCAAAUCAAUCUUUUUCCAGGUUGACCUCGGAUCAGGUAGGGAUACCCGCUGAACUUAAGC